rnacentral:rRNA from 1 species
UAUUACCGCGGCUGCUGGUCCUACGGGAGGCAGCAGUGGGGAAUAUUGCACAAUGGGCGAAAGCCUGAUGCAGCAACGCCGCGUGAGCGAUGAAGGCCUUCGGGUCGUAAAGCUCUGUCCUCAAGGAAGAUAAUGACGGUACUUGAGGAGGAAGCCCCGGCUAACUACGUGCCAGCAGCCGCGGUAAU